rnacentral:rRNA from 1 species
AGUGGGGAAUAUUGGACAAUGGGCGAAAGCCUGAUCCAGCCAUGCCGCGUGAGUGAUGAAGGCCCUAGGGUUGUAAAGCUCUUUCACCGGUGAAGAUAAUGACGGUAACCGGAGAAGAAGCCCCGGCUAACUUCGUGCCAGCAGCCGCGGUAAUACGAAGGGGGCUAGCGUUGUUCGGAAUUACUGGGCGUAAAGCGCACGUAGGCGGACUAUUAAGUCAGGGGUGAAAUCCCGGGGCUCAACCCCGGAACUGCCUUUGAUACUGGUAGUCUCGAGUCCGGAAGAGGUGAGUGGAACUCCGAGUGUAGAGGUGAAAUUCGUAGAUAUUCGGAAGAACACCAGUGGCGAAGGCGGCUCACUGGUCCGGUACUGACGCUGAGGUGCGAAAGCGUGGGGAGCAAA